GAUGAACGCUGGCGGCGUGCCUAAUACAUGCAAGUCGAGCGAACAGACGAGGAGCUUGCUCCUCUGACGUUAGCGGCGGACGGGUGAGUAACACGUGGAUAACCUACCUAUAAGACUGGGAUAACUUCGGGAAACCGGAGCUAAUACCGGAUAAUAUAUUUAACCGCAUGGUUCAAUAGUGAAAGACGGUUUUGCUGUCACUUAUAGAUGGAUCCGCGCCGCAUUAGCUAGUUGGUAAGGUAACGGCUUACCAAGGCAACGAUGCGUAGCCGAACUGAGAGGGUGAUCGGCCACACUGGAACUGAGACACGGUCCAGACUCCUACGGGAGGCAGCAGUAGGGAAUCUUCCGCAAUGGGCGAAAGCUUGACGGAGCAACGCCGCGUGAGUGAUGAAGGUCUUCGGAGCGUAAAACUCUGUUAUUAGGGAAGAACAAAUGUGUAAGUAACUAUGCACGUCUUGACGGUACCUAAUCAGAAAGCCACGGCUAACUACGUG
rnacentral:rRNA from 1 species